rnacentral:rRNA from 1 species
GGCGAAGUCAUUGAUCCUAUGCUGCCUAGAAAAGCCCAGCAGCGAGUUGACAUGGUGCCCGUACCCCAAACCAACACAGGUGGACAGGUAGAGCAUACCAAGGCGAGUGGGAUAACUAUGGUUAAGGAACUCGGCAAAUUGCCUCCGUAACUUCGGGAGAAGGAGGACCCCAGUAGCGUGAUGAGACUUGCUCUCUGAGCGUGAAGGGGUGGCACAAAAUUGAGGGAAGCGACUGUUUACCAAAAACACAGCAGCGUGCUAAGCCGUAAGGCGCUGUAUACGCUGUGACUCCUGCCCGGUGCUGGAAGGUUACGGGGAUGGGUUAGUCCUUCGGGACGAAGCUCUGAACCUAAGCCCCAGUAAACGGCGGCCGUAACUAUAACGGUCCUAAGGUAGCGAAAUUCCUUGUCGGGUAAGUUCCGACCUGCACGAAUGGAGUAACGACUUCCCUACUGUCUCAACCAUAGACCCAGCGAAAUUGAAGUACGAGUAUAUGCUCGUUAGCUGCAGAAGGACGGAAAGACCCCGUGGACCUUUACUAUAACUUGAUGUUGUGUUUUGUCAUAUGUUGUGUAGGAUAGGUGGGAGACUUGGAAGCAUGGACGCUAGUCUGUGUGGAGUCAUCGUUGAAAUACCACCCUGCAUAUGGUGAGGCUCUAACCUAGACCCGUUAUCCGGGUUGGGGACAGCGUCAGGCGGGUAGUUUAACUGGGGCGGUUGCCUCCUAAAGAGUAACGGAGGCGCCCAAAGGUUCCCUCAGCCUGGUUGGCAAUCAGGCGUUGAGUGCAAUGGCAAAAGGGAGCUUGACUGCGAGACCUACAAGUCGAGCAGGAGCGAAAGCUGGGCAUAGUGAUCCGGCGGUUGCGUGUGGAAGCGCCGUCGCUCAACGGAUAAAAGGUACCCCGGGGAUAACAGGCUAAUCUUGCCCAAGCGUCCAUAGCGACGGCAAGGUUUGGCACCUCGAUGUCGGCUCAUCGCAUCCUGGGGCUGAAGCAGGUCCCAAGGGUUGGGCUGUUCGCCCAUUAAAGCGGUACGCGAGCUGGGUUCAGAACGUCGUGAGACAGUUCGGUCCCUAUCCUCUGCAGCCGGAGGUGAAUUGAGGAAAGCUGUCCCUAGUACGAGAGGACCGGGACGGACGCAGCUCUCGUGUGCCAGUUGUCCUGCCAAGGGCAUGGCUGGUUAGCGACCUGCGGAAAGGAUAACCGCUGAAAGCAUCUAAGCGGGAAGCCUCUUCCAAGAUGAAUUCACCCACAGGGUUAACCUGGUAAGGCCCGUGGUAGACCACCACGUUGAUAGGCCGGAAGUGUAAGCGUGGCAACACGUUCAGCUGACCGGUACUAAUCGGCCGAGGGCUUGAGUUC